UACAGAGGUCUCAAGCGUUGUUCGGAUUCAUUGGGCGUAAAGGGUGCGUAGGUGGCGCUGUAAGUCGGGUGUGAAAUUUCGGAGCUUAACUCCGAAAACUGCAUUCGAUACUGCGGUGCUUGAGGACUGGAGAGGAGACUGGAAUUCAUGGUGUAGCAGUGAAAUGCGUAGAGAUCAUGAGGAAGACCAGUGGCGAAGGCGGGGUCUCUGGACAGUUCCUGACACUGAGGCACGAAGGCCAGGGGGAGCAAACGGG
rnacentral:rRNA from 1 species